rnacentral:hammerhead_ribozyme from 1 species
AUCCUGAUGACGAGUCCCAAAUAAGACGAAAUGCACAUGCUAUAU